rnacentral:rRNA from 1 species
GUCCACACAGUAAACGAUGAAUACUCGCUGUUUGCGAUAUACAGUAAGCGGCCAAGCGAAAGCAUUAAGUAUUCCACCUGGGGAGUACGCCGGCAACGGUGAAACUCAAAGGAAUUGACGGGGCCCGGCCACAAGCGGAGGAACAUGUGGUUUAAUUUACGUAUGAUACGCGAGGAACCUUACCCGGGCCUUGAAUUGCAGAGGAACAUAGUUGAAAGAUUAUGGCCGCAAGGUCUCUGUGAAGGUGCUGCAUGGUUGUCGU